UGGCGUCAUAUGGUCACGUGGGCGGCUAAGCGCUCGGCGGUUGUGUCCCUUCCUUGGCAAGGAUUGCGGUUUCCGCAAGUUCCGUGGCUGUUCACGUCAUCUUUGAUAAAGUUUUGUUUUUGUUUUUAAAUCAAACCAGAUGAGCGAGAAGACUGCAAGCACUGUUUACCAGACAUUCCACAGGAUGCAGGAAGCUAUGAGGAUCAGGAGGAUGGCGAGGAGUCCGGCAAACCCAGAAAAGACGGUGCUGCUCUGGUCUUUAUCUCUAGGAGAAAAACCAAGUUCCAUUGUCCCAGCUGGCCAUAGGACGCCUGCAUAACACAUCUCAAACCGGAAGAGAACUCCAGUCCUCCCUCCCCAGACCAGCUCUUCCUCUCGUGUUUCCUGUAAUCCAGUGGCCGUCAGAAACCUCGACGUCAUUCUCGAUUGCACUCUUCGUGCCCCAGCACAUUCUGCCUGCUUUACCCUGGGCACAGGCAUCUACCCAUCCCAGUCGCCUCCUGUUCCUCCGCUGUCACCAGUGUGCGUCCCCCGUGGGCGCUGCAGUAACCCCGCUAAUGGCUCUCUUGGCUUUUACUCUCCCCUGGCACACCACCUUCACGUGGGAGCCAGGGCGAUGGCUGAAAGCAGUCAGAUCAUGUCCCUCCUCCGCUCGUAGCAGAUGGCUUCCCACCACACUUUAGGUCUGCAGUCCUAGCCCGGAGAAGACUAUGGCACCCUGGGAUCUGCCCUCUGCCUACCUCUGGACCUCUUUCCUGUCGCUCUGCCUUGGACUUUGGCUGCUGGCGCUCCUUGCAGUUGUGUCCAGGCAAAGCACAGUUCUUCUCAGAUCGGUCCCUCCUCCCCAGGCCCGUCCUCCGGUAGCUGUCUGCGUGGCUCAUUCCAUUCAAGUCUCCUCUGAAAUGUCACCUCCUCAGAUAAGACUCCCCGGCCUCGCUCAAUUAUUCACAGCUCCCUUAAUGCUGCUCUAUUUCUUCCUUCAAAAUAGUUUGAUAGAUUGAUAUACUACGCAUUCAUUUGUUUAUGUGUUUGUCAUCUGUCCAGAAACUUCAGGAUAUCUUGGGCUGUCUGUCUUGUUCACGUAGUAUCUUAAACAGUGCCUGGUACUUAGUAGGAGCCUGAUGAAUAUUCAUGAAAUAAAUAAAUAGAUGAAAUACUUCUACUAUUACUGCUACUAAUAGUAAUAAUCAUAAUCAUAGCAGAAGUUAUGGAAAUCGUUUUGAGGGUAUUAGAGCUACUAUGGAAAACAGUAUAGAAAUCCUUCAGAAAAUUAAAACUAGAGCUAUUGUAAGAUCUGCCACCAUUCUCACUGCUGGGUAUAUAGCCAGGGUGAGUGAGACCGGUGUGUCUGCCCUCCCAGGCCUUCUAGAGGUCAGUAUGGCUGUGUGCACAGCAUGGAAGCAACCUCAGUGCCAGUCAGCACUGAGUGGGUAAGGAAAAUGUGGUACUCAUACUCAGUGGAUACUGCUGUCAUUUGGGACGGCAUGGGUGGCCCUGGGGGACAUUAUGCUAAGUGAAGUAAACCAGGCCCAGAAAGACAGGCGCUGCGCGAUUUCACCUACAUAGAGAAUCUAAAAAGAGCUGAACUCACGUUAAGUCGAUAGUGGUUGCUGGAGGAUGCGAGGGCAGAGAUGUUUAUCAAAGGAUACAAAAUUUCACUUAAAAGGAACAAAUUCAACAUCUCUGUUGUGCAACACAGUUUUGUUGAAAGCUCCUAUGGUCCUGUUGACCACUGUUUAGUGUAGAUCUCAAGCGUUACACACAUCACACACACACACGUGCACGUGCACAAUAUGUGAAGUAAUGUGUAUAUUACCUACUUAAGUUAGCAAUUCUAUAAUAUAUACGUAUUUCAAAACAGCAUGUUGUGCACAAUAAAUACAUACAAUUUUUUUCAACUGGAAAAUAAAAUUAAUAUUUUUUUAGGGGAUGCUUCAGUUUUCUUUUACGAAUACACUCCUUAUCAAUGCCUGUGUUUACCUACAAGUAAC